rnacentral:sRNA from 1 species
AUUCACUCCCGGGGGCAGCACGGCCCAGCCGAGAGGACCCCCUCGGAGAUCCAGUUUCACCAGGUGAAAUUUGGCGCCCCACGCAGGAAGGAAACUGACCCACUGAAUGAGCCGUGGGAGGAAGAGUGGACACUACUGGGAAAGGAAGAGUUGAGUGGGAGCCUGCUGCAGUCGGUCCAGGAGGCCCUGGAGGAAAGGAGUCUGACUAUUCGGUCAGCCUCAGAAUUCCAGGAGCUGGACUCCCCAGACGAUACCAUGGGAACCAUCAAGCGGGCCCCGUUCCUAGGGCCACUCCCCCCUGACCCUCCAGCAGAGGAGCCUCUGUCCAGUCCCCCAGGAACCCUGCCCCCACCUCCUUCAGGCCCCGACAGCUCCCCACUGCUGCCCACGGCCUGGGCCACCAUGAAGCAGCGGGAGGAUCCUGAGGUAAGAGGGUGCUACAGGGGGGUGGGGAGACGGGCGGCUACAGCUGUCAUAUCAGCCCUGACUCCUUUCCUCCCUCCCAGAGGUCAUCCUGCCACGGGCUCCCCCCAACUCCCAAGGUGCAUAUGGGCGCCUGCUUCUCCAAGGUCUUCAAUGGCUGCCCCCUGCGGAUCCACGCUGCUGUCACCUGGAUUCACCCUGUUACUCGGGACCAGUUCCUGGUGGUAGGGGCCGAGGAAGGCAUCUACACACUCAACCUGCAUGAACUGCAUGAGGAUACGCUGGAGAAGGUGAGGCCCGGCUGGCUGUGGGGGGCAGAGGCCUUGGGGGGGCCUGGGGUGCUGACCAUCUGUCCCUCUGUGGCCUCCAGCUGAUUUCACAUCGCUGCUCCUGGCUCUACUGCGUGAACAACGUGCUGCUGUCACUCUCAGGGAAAUCCACGCACAUCUGGGCCCAUGACCUCCCAGGCCUGUUUGAGCAGCGGAGGCUACAGCAACAGGUUCCCCUCUCCAUCCCCACCAACCGCCUCACCCAGCGCAUCAUCCCCAGGCGCUUUGCUCUGUCCACCAAGAUUCCUGACACCAAAGGCUGCUUGCAGUGUCGUGUGGGUAAGAAAUGGGCUGGGCGGGGUGGGGCGGGGCCUGGUGGGGGGCAGCGCAGGCCCAGCCCGGUGCCCACUGCCUGCUCCCCUGCCAGUGCGGAACCCCUACACGGGUGCCACCUUCCUGCUGGCCGCCCUGCCCACCAGCCUGCUCCUGCUGCAGUGGUAUGAGCCGCUGCAGAAGUUUCUGCUGCUGAAGAACUUCUCCAGCCCUCUGCCCAGCCCAGCUGGGAUGCUGGAGCCGCUGGUGCUGGAUGGGAAGGAGCUGCCGCAGGUGUGUGUGGGGGCCGAGGGGCCUGAGGGGCCCGGCUGCCGCGUCCUGUUCCAUGUCCUGCCCCUGGAGGCUGGCCUGACGCCCGACAUCCUCAUCCCACCUGAGGGGAUCCCAGGCUCGGCCCAGCAGGUGAUCCAGGUGGACAGGGACACAAUCCUAGUCAGCUUUGAACGCUGUGUGAGGAUUGUCAACAUGCAGGGCGAGCCCACGGCCACACUGGCACCUGAGCUGACCUUUGAUUUCCCCAUCGAGACUGUGGUGUGCCUGCAGGACAGUGUGCUGGCCUUCUGGAGCCAUGGGAUGCAAGGCCGAAGCCUGGAUACCAAUGAG